UGGCUCAGAUGGUAAAGCAUCUGCCUGCAAUGCGGAAGACCCAGGGUUUGAUCCCUG
rnacentral:tRNA from 1 species